rnacentral:rRNA from 1 species
UUGGUACGGAAUAGCCUCUGGAAACGGANAGNANUACCGUAUGAGCCCUUCGGGGGAAAGAUUUAUCGCCAAAGGAUUGGCCCGCGUUAGAUUAGGUAGUUGGUGGGGUAAUGGCCUACCAAGCCUACGAUCUAUAGCUGGUUUUANAGGAUGAUCAGCAACACUGGGACUGAGACACGGCCCAGACUCCUACGGGAGGCAGCAGUGGGGAAUCUUGGACAAUGGGGGCAACCCUGAUCCAGCCAUGCCGCGUGAGUGAUGAAGGCCUUAGGGUCGUAAAGCUCUUUCGCCUGUGAAGAUAAUGACGGUAGCAGGUAAAGAAACCCCGGCUAACUCCGUGCCAGCAGCCGCGGUAAUACGGAGGGGGUUAGCGUUGUUCGGAAUUACUGGNNGUAAAGCGCACGUAGGCGGACUGGAAAGUUGGGGGUGAAAUCCCAGGGGCUCAACCCUGGAACUGCCUCCAAAACUAUCAGUCUAGAGUUCGAGAGAGGUGAGGNGGAAUUCCGAGUGNANAGGUGAAAUUCGUANAUAUUCGGAGGAACACC